UGACGGUAGCGUGUGGCGCAGCCUCAA
rnacentral:sRNA from 1 species